GAUGAACGCUGGCGGCGUGCCUAAUACAUGCAAGUCGAACGCUUUUUCUUUCACCGGAGCUUGCUCCACCGAAAGAAAAAGAGUGGCGAACGGGUGAGUAACACGUGGGUAACCUGCCCAUCAGAAGGGGAUAACACUUGGAAACAGGUGCUAAUACCGUAUAACACUAUUUUCCGCAUGGAAGAAAGUUGAAAGGCGCUUUUGCGUCACUGAUGGAUGGACCCGCGGUGCAUUAGCUAGUUGGUGAGGUAACGGCUCACCAAGGCAACGAUGCAUGGCCGACCUGGGAGGGUGAUCGGCCACACGGGGACGGAGACACGGCCCAGACUCCUACGGGAGGCAGCAGUAGGGAAUCUUCGGCAAUGGACGAAAGUCUGACCGAGCAACGCCGCGUGAGUGAAGAAGGUUUUCGGAUCGUAAAACUCUGUUGUUAGAGAAGAACAAGGAUGAGAGUAGAACGUUCAUCCCUUGACGGUAUCUAACCAGAAAGCCACGGCUAACUACGUGCCAGCCGCCGCCGUAA
rnacentral:rRNA from 1 species